rnacentral:rRNA from 1 species
UACAGAGGUCCCAAGCGUUGUUCGGAUUCAUUGGGCGUAAAGGGUGCGUAGGUGGCGCCGUAAGUCGGGUGUGAAAUUUCGGAGCUUAACUCCGAAACUGCAUUCGAUACUGCGGUGCUUGAGGACUGGAGAGGAGACUGGAAUUCCUGGUGUAGCGGUGAAAUGCGCAGAUAUCAGGAGGAACACCGGUGGCGAAGGCGGGUCUCUGGGCCGAUACUGACGCUGAGGAGCGAAAGCGUGGGGAGCGAACAGG